rnacentral:rRNA from 1 species
ACGCUCGACACCUACGGGAGGCAGCAGUGGGGAAUAUUGCACAAUGGGGGAAACCCUGAUGCAGCGAUGCCGCGUGAAGGAAGAAGUAUCUCGGUAUGUAAACUUCUAUCAGCAGGGAAGAAAAUGACGGUACCUGACUAAGAAGCCCCGGCUAACUACGUGUCAGCAGCCGCGGUAAUCUGAGCGGGCUGGCAAGGC